AGAUGCCUGUUCCUUCUCCCUGUCUAUCAGGAGGGCAUGUUGAAAUGUUCUCAUCCUGAGAUGCCUAGCCCUAAGAUGAGGAACUGGGGAUUGUCAACAACCACUGUGAUUGAACUUGGCAGUGGAUCCUUCACUCCUCGUUGAGCUUUUCUAUGACUGCAGCCAGGCUGACAGCUUCACUGCAACACCAUGGGUGACCUUGACCUAGAACCAGACAGCAGAUCAGCUUCUGGACUCUUGAACUUCAAAAGUCUAUCACUAGCUUAUACAAUGAAAAGAAGAAAAUGUUUCCCGUGGUAGAUGCAGCCUAGGAAGUUCAUGGUUUGGUGAACUGUGACAUCGCAAUGGUAAGUGCAGACCUGUAUCCUGGCACAAGGUACCUGUGGAUUAUGUGCUAAAUUUCAACCCCUAUGUUCUUUCAUCAAGGCCCUUUGUGCACAAACUACACAGACAUUCUUGGUGACUUUGUCUUUUCUCUUUCAAGAACAUGUCUAUUUUUCUUCUAUCCUGAUACUAAUGCACUGCAGUUCUUUAUGCUCUCUGUAUCAAUUUGAGUUCUUAGUUGCAAAUAAGAGAAAUAACCUAGUGGAAGCAGGUUAUUUCUACUUGUUCAAAUUAAUGGCUGCCCGGCUGGUUGAAAACACACGUGUAUAUGUCCUUUCUGCUAAUUUAUUUCCAUGGGGCUGAAUGAAAUUCAUGUCCAUGUAUCAAAUGGAUCUUUCCCUUUAUUACUUUGCCUUUCCUAAUUUAGAGUAGUUGUUUGUGUUUUAAGAAUGGGAGAUCCAAGCUUCUCCCUUAUGCUCUCAUGUAUUACCUUUUC